rnacentral:rRNA from 3 species
GGAAGUAAAAGUCGUAACAAGGUUUCCGUAGGUGAACCUGCGGAAGGAUCAUUAUCGUGGGGCCCCGGCCCCGUCGAGAUAACCACCCUUGCCUUUAUGAGUACCCUAGGUUCCCUCCCCCGUACCUCCGGGGAGCGGGAGGGACCGCACCCGUCUCCCUGGCCGGCGCACCCGCCGGCGGGGACCGCGAAAACACGCUGUCACCACCUGUAACCGUCUGAUAAAACAAGCAAAAAGUCAAAACUUUCAACAACGGAUCUCUUGGUUCUGGCAUCGAUGAAGAACGCAGCGAAAUGCGAUAAGUAGUGUGAAUUGCAGAAUUCAGUGAAUCAUCGAAUCUUUGAACGCACAUUGCGCCCUUUGGUAUUCCUUAGGGCAUGCCUGUUCGAGCGUCAUUUAGCAACCUUCAAGCCCCGCUUGGUGUUGGGUGCCUGUCCCGCCCCCGCGCGUGGACUCACCUCAAAUCCAUUGGCGGCCCCCGAGCCGGCCACGAGCGCAGCAGAGACGCGGUCUCGUGCGCCCGGCCGGGAGGCUCCCAGAAGCCACACCCACAAGUUUGACCUCGGAUCAGGUAGGGAUACCCGCUGAACUUAAGCAUAUCAAUAAGCGGAGGA